UACGUAGGGGGCGAGCGUUGUCCGAAGUUACUGGGCGUAAAGCGCGCGUAGGCGGCUUUUUAAGUUUGGUGUGAAAGGUUCAGGGCUCAACCCGAACAGUGCACUGAAUACUGGAAGGCUUGAGUGGGGGAGAGGAGACUGGAAUUUACGGUGUAGCGGUGAAAUGCGUAGAUAUCGUAAGGAAGACCAGUGGCGAAGGCGGGUCUCUGGACAGUUCCUGACGCUGAGGCACGAAGGUCAGGGGAGCAAACGGG
rnacentral:rRNA from 1 species